GCCAAGCAAACACAGAGGAACAGGAAGUUCUGAGACGCACGCUUCCUGUGGUGCAUUUUUUAACCAAAAGGAUCAAAGGGGAACAAAAGGGAGCGGCAGGUUGUCGCCGCGAGGCGAGUAACUAAUUAAGAAGCACUUCAGUCUCAAAGUACUGUGAAGGGUGUUUCAACGAAUCAUCAAAAGAAGAUUGAAUCCAGCGCGGCUGCUUUGCUGCCGGAAACCCGUUGAUAACUUUCUGCAGAAACCGGCUUUUUUGUCAUCUCACACCCACUCGCUGUCCCGGUUUGUAUGAAUACGUCAAGUGUACAUGGAAAAAAGGUUUGCCAUCGUCAUGACAUUAUAUUGCUCCACUUUACAUUCAGAUGCCGUUUUAUUUUUUUUGGUAUAAAACUGUCCGUUUCCUCGCCAUCCCUGUGAAUCAACACUGUGCAGCA